rnacentral:rRNA from 1 species
GGGCCCGCACAAGCGGUGGAGCAUGUGGUUUAAUUCGAUGAUACGCGAGGAACCUUACCAGGGCUUAAAUGUAGUCUGACAGGGGUGGAAACACCCCCUCCUUCGGGCAGAUUACAAGGUGCUGCAUGGUUGUCGUCAGCUCGUGCCGUGAGGUGUCAGGUUAAGUCCUAUAACGAGCGCAACCCCUGCCGUUAGUUGCCAGCAUGUAAUGAUGGGAACUCUAACGGGACUGCCGGUGCAAACCGCGAGGAAGGUGGGGAUGACGUCAAAUCAUCACGGCCCUUACGUCCUGGGCUACACACGUGCUACAAUGGCCGGUACAGAGGGCAGCCACACCGCAAGGUGGAGCGAAUCCUUAAAACCGGUCUCAGUUCGGAUUGAGGUCUGCAACUCGACCUCAUG